rnacentral:rRNA from 1 species
UGGUGGAGUGAUUUGUCUGGUUAAUUCCGUUAACGAACGAGACCUCGGCCUGCUAAAUAGUUCGACGAACCCCUCGGGGUUCGCGCGAUACUUCUUAGAGGGACUAUCGGUGCCUAGCCGAUGGAAGUUCGAGGCAAUAACA